GGGCUGCAGGCGGAUGCUACCUGUCUGGCGAAAUGCUGUUUCUUCCAGAUUGCUGUUGCUGAUUUUUGCCAAACUCCCGUAUUAUUCAUAAUCAACCACGCUUGCCGCGCUCCGACACGAUGUUAGCUCAUGCUUUUGUUCAUGCUGGUGAGUGAGACAAAGCUACAACCACAGAGCUGCAUGUCUGGACGUCACGUCUGCCGACGAUGUUUAACCUGCAUCAGUGACACUUCGUCAUUUCUCAGUCUAGAAAAUCUGCGAGACAAGAAGUCAAGCCUUGAUGUGUAGUGGUGGCCAAUUUCCGUGGUGUGAUUUCCGUGAUCUCAAGCUCCUCGUGGGGACGUCGUGAGACGCAGGGCUGGGAGCAGGUGGGCAGUAAGGCCCGGCCGUGUGGCCCCCCCCAGGCACACCCGGUACCCUCGAGGGCACAGAGAACGGUAACGUGUGGUAAACUAAUU